rnacentral:piRNA from 1 species
UCCAGUACUAAAGGUAUCAGAUGCCUCUGGCC